rnacentral:rRNA from 1 species
GACGAACGCUGGCGGCGUGCUUAGCACAUGCAAGUCGAACGGAAAGGCCCUGCUUUUGUGGGGUGCUCGAGUGGCGAACGGGUGAGUAACACGUGAGUAACCUGCCCUUGACUUUGGGAUAACUUCACGAAACUGGGGCUAAUACCGGAUAGGAGCUCCUGCUGCAUGGUGGGGGUUGGAAAGUUUCGGCGGGUGGGGAUGGACGCGCGGCUUAUCAGCUUGUUGGUGGGGUAGUGGCUUACCAAGGCUUUGACGGGUAGCCGGCCUGAGAGGGUGACCGGCCACAUUGGGACUGAGAUACGGCCCAGACUCCUACGGGAGGCAGCAGUGGGGAAUAAUGCACAAUGGGCGGAAGCCUGAUGCAGCAACGCCGCGUGCGGGAUGACGGCCUUCGGGUUGUAAACCGCUUUCGCCUGUGACGAAGCGUGAGUGACGGUAAUGGGUAAAGAAGCACCGGCUAACUACGUG